CACAAGCGGUGGAGCAUGUGGUUUAAUUCGACGCAACGCGCAGAACCUUACCAGCCCUUGACAUACUCGUCGUCGGUCCAGAGAUGGAUCUUUCAGUUCGGCUGGACGAGAUACAGGUGCUGCAUGGCUGUCGUCAGCUCGUGUCGUGAGAUGUUCGGUUAAGUCCGGCAACGAGCGCAACCCACGUCCUUAGUUGCCAGCAGGUUAAGCUGGGCACUCUAGGGAAACUGCCGGUGAUAAGCCGGAGGAAGGUGUGGAUGACGUCAAGUCCUCAUGGCCCUUACGGGUUGGGCUACACACGUGCUACAAUGGCAGUGACAAUGGGUUAAUCCCAAAAAGCUGUCUCAGUUCGGAUUGGGGUCUGCAACUCGACCCCAUGAAGUCGGAAUCGCUAGUAAUCGCGUAACAGCAUGACGCGGUGAAUACGUUCCCGGGCCUUGUACACACCGCCCGUCACACCAUGGGAGUUGGAUCUACCCGAAGGCCGUGCGCCAACCUUUCGAGGAGGCAGCGGACCACGGUGGGUUCAGCGACUGGGGUG
rnacentral:rRNA from 1 species